rnacentral:rRNA from 1 species
GAUGAACGCUGGCGGCGUGCCUAAUACAUGCAAGUCGAGCGAACGGACGAGAAGCUUGCUUCUCUGAUGUUAGCGGCGGACGGGUGAGUAACACGUGGAUAACCUACCUAUAAGACUGGGAUAACUUCGGGAAACCGUAGCUAAUACCGGAUAAUAUUUUGAACCGCAUGGUUCACAAGUGAAAGACGGUCUUGCUGUCACUUAUAGAUGGAUCCGCGCUGCAUUAGCUAGUUGGUAAGGUAACGGCUUACCAAGGCAACGAUGCAUAGCCGACCUGAGAGGGUGAUCGGCCACACUGGAACUGAGAACCGGUCCAGACUCCUACGGGAGGCAGCAGUAGGGAAUCUUCGGCAAUGGGCGAAAGCCUGACGGAGCAACGCCGCGUGAGUGAUGAAGGUCUUCGGAUCGUAAAACUCUGUUAUUAGGGAAGAACAUAUGUGGAAGUAACUGUGCACAUCGUGACGGUACCUAAUCAGAAAGCCACGGCUAACUACGUG